AGGAAGCACUAUUACUCCCUCUAGUGGAUCAGUUAUGUGAAGUGGUUACCACAACAACAUUGACAGGAGAGAUAACUGAGGAAAGUGCAGUAAACGGACAAUCAGCUUUCUACAGUCUCAAAUUAAUGAGUCGACAUCUAGGUCACAAAAAUCAUCACACGUUUACUAAGGUAAAAACAGUCAAAUUUGGUGAUACAAUUGUGUGGAUCAAAAGCAUCUAAUGUUCUGACAUACCAAAUAGGGGGAUAAAUGUUAAAUAAUGAGUUUCAUUACUUUCUUACAAAAGAAUGUCACUAUAUUUUUUAUGACAAAGGAGUUUUCAUAAAAGAAUUUAAGUGAAAAAUGUGGAACUAUUUUAGUGAACAAAACAAAGGAAUGACACCUGACGUCAAAAUAUUAGUUAAUUUGAGGGUUGAAGUAAAGAAUUGAUAAAUUGAGUGUUAUUUGCUUAUUUAAUGCCAGGAAAUUUUGUAAUGAACAAUUAUUCAGAAAAUUUAAAUGGGUAUAACUCUAACAAUUACUUUAAGGUGAAUAAACUUUUUUAAACUGGUUCAAGGCUCGCCAAUACAAAUUAAUAUUGAUGUAUUACCAGGUUUUAAAGCUAGCCAUAAAGGUGUUCAAGAAGAGAUCAGAUAACUUACAAGUAG
rnacentral:lncRNA from 1 species